rnacentral:tRNA from 1 species
AGGGUUAUAGCUCAGUGGUAGAGUGUGUGCUUAGCAUGCAUGAGGUCCUGGGUUCAAUUCCCAGUACCUCCA